rnacentral:lncRNA from 1 species
GGUGCGUUUGAUUAUAUUUUUUAAUUUUUAAUUUUUAAAAUAUAUUUUUAAUUUUUUAAUUUUUAUUAUUAAAUAAAAAUAAAAAAUAAAAAAUAUGUUUGAUAACUACGUUACUAUAAAAUAAAAAAUAACAUUUGGAGGCGGCAGAUGAAGAGUUCAAUUAGAGAGAAAGAUUUAGAAAGGAAAGAAGGAGGGGAUGGGG